rnacentral:rRNA from 1 species
CCUACGGGUGGCUGCAGUGGGGAAUAUUGGACAAUGGGCGAAAGCCUGAUCCAGCCAUGCCGCGUGUGUGAAGAAGGCCUUCGGGUUGUAAAGCACUUUCAGUGGGGAAGAAAGUCUUGGGGCUAAUACCCUCGAGGAAGGACAUCACCCACAGAAGAAGCACCGGCUAACUCCGUGCCAGCAGCCGCGGUAAUACGGAGGGUGCGAGCGUUAAUCGGAAUUACUGGGCGUAAAGCGCGCGUAGGCGGUCUGAUAAGCCGGUUGUGAAAGCCCCGGGCUCAACCUGGGAACGGCAUCCGGAACUGUCAGGCUAGAGUGCAGGAGAGGAAGGUAGAAUUCCCGGUGUAGCGGUGAAAUGCGUAGAGAUCGGGAGGAAUACCAGUGGCGAAGGCGGCCUUCUGGACUGACACUGACGCUGAGGUGCGAAAGCGUGGGUAGCAAACAGGAUUAGAUACCCCAGUAGUC